rnacentral:rRNA from 1 species
UACGUAGGGGGCAAGCGUUGUCCGGAUUUAUUGGGUGUAAAGAGCGUGUAGGCGGCUAGGUAGGUCCGUUGUGAAAACUCGAGGCUCAACCUCGAGACGUCGAUGGAAACCAUCUAGCUAGAGUCCGGAAGAGGAGAGUGGAAUUCCUGGUGUAGCGGUGAAAUGCGCAGAUAUCAGGAAGAACACCCGUGGCGAAGGCGGCUCUCUGGUACGUGACUGACGCUGAGACGCGAAAAGCGUGGGGAGCGAACAGG